CUCGGCGCCAGCGCUGAUUUGCUCCGGCUUGCGGGCGCUCUACAAAUGCCGCUAAAGACAGGACGCAGACCCGGUGUC
rnacentral:ncRNA from 2 species